UGGGGAAUAUUGCACAAUGGGGGAAACCCUGAUGCAGCGACGCCGCGUGAGUGAAGAAGUAUCUCGGUAUGUAAAGCUCUAUCAGCAGGGAAGAAAAUGACGGUACCUGACUAAGAAGCCCCGGCUAACUACGUGCCAGCAGCCGCGGUAAUACGUAGGGGGCAAGCGUUAUCCGGAUUUACUGGGUGUAAAGGGAGCGUAGACGGCGGUGCAAGUCUGAUGUGAAAGCCCGGGGCUCAACCCCGGUACUGCAUUGGAAACUGUACAGCUAGAGUGCAGGAGAGGUAAGUGGAAUUCCUAGUGUAGCGGUGAAAUGCGUAGAUAUUAGGAGGAACACCAGUGGCGAAGGCGGCUUACUGGACUGUAACUGACGUUGAGGCUCGAAAGCGUGGGGAGCAAACAGG
rnacentral:rRNA from 1 species